rnacentral:rRNA from 1 species
AUUCUGGCUCAGGAUGAACGCUAGCUACAGGCUUAACACAUGCAAGUCGAGGGGCAGCAUGUGGUUGCUGCAACCAAUGAUGGCGACCGGCGCACGGGUGAGUAACGCGUAUCCAACCUUCCCCUUAGUAGAGGAUAGCCCGGCGAAAGUCGGAUUAAUACUCUAUGUUCUUCAAUGCGGACAUCUAAGUUGAAGCAAAGAUUUAUCGCUAAGGGAUGGGGAUGCGUCUGAUUAGGUUGCAGGCGGGGUAACGGCCCACCUGGCCUACGAUCAGUAGGGGUUCUGAGAGGAAGGUCCCCCACACUGGUACUGAGACACGGACCAGACUCCUACGGGAGGCAGCAGUGAGGAAUAUUGGUCAAUGGGCGCGAGCCUGAACCAGCCAAGUAGCGUGCAAGGACGACUGCCCUAUGGGUUGUAAACUGCUUUUAUCAGGGAAUAAAGUGAGGCACGCGUGCCUUUUUGUAUGUACCUGAUGAAUAAGGACCGGCUAAUUCCGUGCCAGCCGCGGC